rnacentral:rRNA from 1 species
UGCAAGUCGACGGUAACGCGGAGAGCUUGCUCUCUGGCGACGAGUGGCGGACGGGUGAGUAACGCGUGGGAAUCUGCCUAGUAGUGGGGGACAACUCGAGGAAACUCGAGCUAAUACCGCAUACGCCCUACGGGGGAAAGCGGGGGAUCUUCGGACCUCGCGCUAUUAGAUGAGCCCGCGUCGGAUUAGCUAGUUAGUGAGGUAAAAGCUCACCAAGGCGACGAUCCGUAGCUGGUCUGAAAGGACGAUCAGCCACACUGGGACUGAAACACGGCCCAGAAUCCUACGGGAGGCAGCAGUGGGGAAUAUUGGACAAUGGGGGGAAACCCUGAUCCAGCAAUGCCGCCUGUGGUGAAGAAAGCCUGCGGGUUGUAAAGCACUUUCAGUGAGGAAGAAAAGCCUGGGGUUAAUACCCCCGAGUCUUGACGUUACUCACAGAAGAAGCACGGCUAACUCCGUGCCAGCAGCCGCGGUAAUACG